rnacentral:sRNA from 1 species
ACGGUAAUACAGAUUAUGACGAAUUCACCUAUUACAAAGCGUAUUUGUUGUUCUUAAAAUACUUUUUGUAAUAUGUGAAUUUUUUUCUUUCUCAAGAAGAAAUGUGAUCUUAUUAAUUUUAAUCAAAUGGAGGUCAUUCAACAUGACACAAGGUACAGUUAAAUGGUUUAACGCAGAAAAAGGUUUCGGUUUCAUCGAGGUUGAAGGUGGAGCAGACGUAUUCGCUCACUUCUCAGCAAUCCAAGGUGACGGUUUCAAAACUUUAGAAGAAGGCCAAAAAGUUGAGUUUUCUAUCGAAGACGGUCAACGUGGUCCUCAAGCUACAAACAUCGUAAAACUUUAAUUUUAUGAUCCAAAAAGGCAUCCUUUUAUAGGGUGCCUUUUUUU